AUAUUCUAAAAUAGCCUCUGAGACAUCUGUAGUAUGUUGUCUUUAUUUUUAUAUGGUUACACAUUCCAUCCAAUCCCUCAGCAGUAGAUGAUGAUAAUAGGGUGUUCAUAUUUUCUAUUCAGGGGCCAUCUGAUUCUGUUGGAGUUUAUGUUGAUUAUGGUUCUGAGCAGGUGCCGAUCAGCUGUUGAAGACACAAUGGACUUUGCAUUCACUACCAACAAGAGCGAAUUAUGUGAGAUGCAUGAAAUUGAGGCAAUAGGUGGUUGUUCCAAAGCAUCUACUUGUCGUGAGAUGAUGAGCUACACUUGUGGAGCCUUAAACACUUAUAUGCCUGGAAUUCCAGGUUGAGGUGCUUAUUGAUUGUGUACGCAACCCUGCUUUCUUAAUUGGGAGCUCAAUGAAUAGAUUUUAAGGCUAAAGGCAGAGCUUGCGAAAUCAUCAAGUGACCUUGAAACUUUCCUUUUAAAGGCUCUUCGUUCUACUGCCUAUUCUGGUGCUUUAGCAAACCCACUAAUCACAAUAGAAUGUUUAGCUAGCAGAUUAAAUGCAGAUGUCAUGGAGAAAUUUAUUCUUGUGAUUUAUUUAUUUUAUGUAUUUUGUCAUGUUUGGUUAUUUUAUACCGGCCUUUAAGUUAUAUUAACAAAGGCUCAAGAAGGAUGAGGAUGCUAGGAAAAUUAGUUGAGAAUUAAUGUGGAAAGAUAGACUAUUUGAUGGAGUUAUACACAAGGAAAAUUGU